CCUACGGGAGGCAGCAGUGGGGAAUAUUGCACAAUGGGCGAAACCCUGAUCCAGCGACGCCGCGUGAGUGAAGAAGUAUCUCGGUACGUUAAGCUCUAUCAGCAGGGAAGAAAAUGACGGUACCUGACUAAGAAGCCACGGCUAACUACGUGCAAGCAGCCGCGGUACUACGUAGGGGGCAAGCGUUAUCCGGAUUUACUGGGGGUAAAGGGAGCGUAGACGGCGCUUCAAGUCCGGAGUGAAAGCCCAUGGCUGAACCAUGGUACUGAGCUGGAAACUGUAGAGCUUGAGUGCGGUAGGGGCAGGCGGAAUGCCUAGUGUAGCGGUGAAAUGCGUAGAUAUUAGGAGGAACACCGGCGGCGAAGGCGGCCUGCUGGACCGUAACUGACGCUGAGGCUCGAAAGCGUGGGGAGCAAACAGGAUUAGAUACCCGUGUAGUC
rnacentral:rRNA from 1 species